rnacentral:rRNA from 1 species
AGUGAACGCUGGCGGUAGGCCUAACACAUGCCAGUCGAACGGCAGCACAGUAAGAGCUUGCUCUUACGGGUGGCGAGUGGCGGACGGGUGAGGAAUACAUCGGAAUCUACUUUUUCGUGGGGGAUAACGUAGGGAAACUUACGCUAAUACCGCAUACGACCUACGGGUGAAAGCAGGGGAUCUUCGGACCUUGCGCGAUUGAAUGAGCCGAUGUCGGAUUAGCUAGUUGGCGGGGUAAAGGCCCACCAAGGCGACGAUCGGGAGCUGGUCUGAGAGGAUGGACAGGCACAUAGGGAAGGGGAAACGGGCCAGACUGCUACGGGGGGCAGCAGUGGGGAAUAAUGCACAAAGGGAGGGAGCCUGAGACAGCGACGCCGCGGGCGGGAUGACGGCUUUCGGGGAAUAAACCGCUAUCGCCGGUGACGAGGCGUGAGUGACGGUAAUGAGUAAAGAAGCGCCGGCUAACUACGUG